rnacentral:tRNA from 1 species
AACAAAGAAGUAAAAUUAUUACAUUUAAUUUCGACCUAAAAAUAGGAAAGCUMAUUCCCUUGUUU